CCUUUUAAGUAUUUUUUCAUUCCCUUCGCUUACACAAAAGACGUGUAUAAGUAUCCCUCAUGAAGAUUUGAAGGCAACGUCACUAUCACCCGUGGUACUACCCCUCAUGAUUUACAGUCAGCAUUCUUCUGGGAUGCCCCCCACCUCCCUCCCCAUGGUCUCUUCACGGGCCACUUUCCCUUCGUCGUUGAAGACACCUCCUCUGGCACACUUACCGCCCAGCUGAUCUGAUUACCGAAUGCCAUGCGCCGAACGCGGUGGUGCUCACGUAUGUGCGAGGCAUAAGAUCGAAGCUGUUUCUUUUGGAUUUCCAAGCUCCAACACGUCCAGGUGAUGUUGCCUACAGCCUUCCACGCUCGGGUUGGUGGUGCUAGAUUGAACUAGCCGUCAUUGUCGAUAUUACUUUUGUGAUGAACUGCCUAUCAGGUGAAGGUGUUGGUGAUCCUGAUGUGGAUUCAAGAUGGGCCUAAUGGAUGAACGACAGGCUGGCUGCCACGGUGGCUCCAGGUCAAGUAUGCUCCGCGGCUAAUGUUGUGUCACGCCGUGUGGUGUCUCCUCUGUAAACUAUUAGAAAUUAAUUAGCAAAUGGUGUGUCCAACCCCCAACAGUCAUAUCUCUUCUCCCUCUAUUGUCAACAAGCACCUGUUCUGGAGAGAUGACUCCGAACAGACACCUCUUCUUCCCACCUCUCCCAGAUGUAUAUAUAUUUGAGAAUGAAUAGAAACAAAACUAAUCGUCCAUUCA